CUUGGCUCAAGGUGAGGGAGAAGGACUAGAAACCAUUACCUGAAAGCUUGAAGAUGGAGUAAAAGCAAAGAAGGAACAAUUUAAGGAACAAAUGCUUGUGUGUCCACUUCCUAAUGUCCGUGAGCUAAAGAUGCUAUCUUGAGAAUUUGUGGGGAUAAGACCCGUAGGCCAAUUUAUACUAAAAUGGUGAAACGGUUGCAAAAGUGGUGAAACAGUUGCAUUAGCCCAUGAUUAAAGCCCAAGUUCAAUGCUUGUAUAAUGAUGAAUUCAAGACCAAUAAGGAAAAGAAGACUUGUUGCUUAAGAAAGAGUAGA